UUAAGAGGGAAAAAUAGUGUAGUAAUUUAAAAAGCUCUAAUUCUAUACUUAAAAUUAACUCAAAUGAACUGUUACAAAAAUUCUCUGCCUAUGCUACAAACAUGCUCUUACUUCGAGGUCCCAAUUUAAUAGGGCUGUUCAAUCAGCAAUGCCCAAAGAUGAUUCACUUUUCAGCAACAAACAACAACAUACCCAGUGGAAUCCCACAAUGUGAGGUCUGGGGAGGGUAAAGUGUACCCAGACCUUACCCCUACCUAGGAAGGUAGGGAGGCUGUUUCCGAAAGACGCCUCUUGAAUUUUUGCAGGAAAAGUGGAUAACAUUGAGAGAAAUGGUCUUGUUAGUUACACUUAAGCUCUUUGGUUUACUCUUUGCUGACUAUUUGGUAUUGCUUUGACUUAUGCGAUUUUAUUUCAUUUGUUCUUGAUUGUGAGUUGGAAUGGAUCCAUCUAAACUAAUUCAUGUGCCAUGUGUGAUGAGGAGACCUAGUAUUCAAAUUUAUUCGCAUACAAAAUUUAUUCGCACACUUUGUCUAGGACUUGUUUUAAUUGUUUGUUGGGGGGAAAUUCUAAGGAAUGCUUGGUUCAGGAUAGGAUAAUAGGUUUUCCUUGGACCGUUUGAGCCGUUCAAGCCUACCAUUUGCAUGACGUAUGACUAGUUGUCCCCUUUGAGCUCUUAAAUCCUUUCUUUGGCGACUACAUUAUGACCCUUUCCCUUGUACGCUUUAUCUUAUGAAUCACCAUACCUCUUUGAGUGCUUGAAUUGUAAGAAAUAGGCUGAAAGUCUAAAUCGGGGGAGUGUUGAUCACUUGAUUGGAGGAAGUGUAUUGGAACCGAUUGAAAGCAAAGAAGAGAAUAAAUAAAUGAAGUAUAAUUCUUGAAAAAUGAAAAGAAGUAAGUAAAGAAUUUGAAAAGAAAGAAAAUGAAACAAAAGAAGUAUGAAUAAAUGGGCAAACUUGGAAGAAGAAACAUACGGACUUGCCUCUGGGUCUCUGACUCUCUGGUAUAAGCUGGUCCAUUGCUUCAUGUUCUAGCACCGUCGUUUGAGUGCGUUCAAAGCAUAAGCAGAGGCACCAAGUUAGGAAUAAUAUUUUGUAGAAACUUGGCUUUCCCUGUUAGUUUUAUGUUCCUUCUGAUUUUUUUCUUUUUGUUACUUGAGUAAUAUAGUGCAGUAUUCUUAUUUAUAUAUCAUUAUGAUGAAGCUCAUUGUAUGUAACUUGGGUAAAAAGCAACAUGAACCUCACAUGUUUAUGUCUCUUUGCUCAACUAAACUGAAAUAUAAUGACUCAUCAACUAGCGGAAUCCAUUUUAACUCCUGAUUUGAGUAGGAAAUUCAGAGAGCUUUGUCCCCCAAAAGACAUCAAACCACUAGAAAUUUUUUGAUUUCUUAUAGACCUUUCUGUAUAGAUAUUUAUGUUACCUGCCAUUUGGUGUUCUGUAUUUGAUCAGGAGGAAACUUGGUCUAAAUGUUGUUACGUCAACGAACAUAACUUUUGGCUGAUUGUCUUGGUUGACGUAUGUUAUCGUUUUAUCAGUUUUGUUGGUUGACUUAUGAUCAGAAUGUGUAUUGAACAGGAGAACAAAAAGAGUGCUGAAAGUCAAAGUUUAAGUACGGCUUACUAAAAUAUGCUAGAAAGGAGAAUCAGUUCUAGAAUUCUGCCCCAAUUGUUUGGAUCAGCGAUUUAUAGUUUGUGCUUUCUUGUAAUAGUUUCCUUUUGUUAGUAUUUAAUACAAUAAAAUUUUAUUGUCCGUGCAUGAUGCUAAGGUGUAUUCCAUUGAUAAUUGGAAUACCAACAUUGUUGAUACUUUAUGAGCUUACUGCAGUUCUCAGAACAGAAAUCUCACUGUUGAUUGUUCAGCAAAGUGUUAACAGAAAAUCCUAAAUUUGCUUGCUAAUCCUUUGUAACUUGCAGAAGUACAGGCUUGGAAAAAGGUAGUAAAUUGGGGGGCAUCCCGAGAAUCGAACUCGGGACCUCUUGCACCCGAAUCGAGAAUCAUACCACUAGACCAAAUGCCCAGCUUUAGUUGGUCCCAUAGACUAUAGCUGGAAAUUUCUUUUCAGUUGUCUGGAGCUUAUACUGUUUUGUGAAAUGAUUUUCUAGGAGUGAUGAGCAUUGCAAUGUCUCAGGGCUCUUCCAUUGUUAAAAUAAUUGAUAUGGAAAGACAUAACUAUGCUAUUAAAGGUGUUUUACCCAAAUAGAGGCAGUUAGAGAUGGAGGAGCACUUGAGGAUUUAAUAAACUUAAGAGUAAAUAAAUUUUUUAUCAAAAUCAAGGGGCAUUCCGAGAAUCGAACUCGGGACCUCUCGCACCCAAAGCGAGAAUCAUACCACUAGACCAAAUGCCCGUUGUUGACAAUUGCCAUCUUUGAGUUCUAUUCAAAUGUAUUUUCCCCUUGUGAGUUAUUUGAUUGUAUUGCUUAUCUGCAAUUUAGACUUCAGAUGCUCUGAUUUCAUAACAGUUGAUCUUCAUUUGCUUACUUUCAUAUUCUUGGUAGUUCUCUUUUUUUACUUUAGUGAUUGAGAACUGUCAAUGGACAUGAGGCCAGGAUCUUGGCAUUAGCUGUAUCAGUAUUGCAUAGUUGAACAUCGUAGUUUGACUUAUGUCAGGAGGCUCAUAGCUGAAGUAAGGAAAGCUUCCGCUAAGUUUAUGACUAUCACAUUUAUAGUUAAACACGGGCUAUCUGUUGGCUCUUAUUACCAAUUCUCUUUUAGCUACCUUUUUUACUAAGCUACAUCCUCACUUGUUUUCAUGAAAUAGAAGAGCUCAUGUUGUAAAUUGGUACAAAACAACAUGGUACAUUGAUGUUCAUGCAUCUUUGGACUUUGGUUCACUAAAUUGAAAUAAUAUGGCUCUGAACUAUGGAUACUCAUUUAACUCCUUGUUUUGACGUGAAAUUCAGAGAACUUUUUGCCUCAAUUUUGUGAAAGACCUCCGAGCCAUUGAUCAUCAAUGAUUUCAGUUGUUACUGUUGAAUUCCUUGAGCCCUAAAUGACCUCGUUAUAAUCCAAACUUUAUGAAUCUUUGAUAUUAAAGCAAACCAAGGUACUAACUUAACUUUUUUGCCUGCUUAGUCAAAUUGAAAACAGAUGACAAAAAUGGAAAGCGUGUCCGAAUUGAUGUCUUAUGAUAGUUGAGAUACUUGAGCUUACCCAUUCAACAUUUUAUGUUCAGGGAUCCUUAGGGAGUUUGGCUCUGAACUUUGGAGUUGCAGAUCUGCUUAUCUGAACAGGCAAGCCCAAGUCUGCACUAUUGAAGGGAUUUCUUGGUAGUUCUAUGUUGAAUUUUGGAGUUCCAGAUCUGCUUACUUGUAAACUAGAGAGGGAUCUUUUGGGAGUUAGACAUUGAAUUUUGGAGGUUCAGAUCUGCUUUCCAGUAAACUGAACAGGCAAGCCGACUCUGCACUUUUGCAAAUAUUCAUGAUGUAAUAUUUUUUUAGCUUAUAGAUUUGGAUUUACCUUAAUCAGCUUCAAGUGACUCAUGCCAUUUGGUUGUCCAUUAACAUGAACUGAAAGAAUCUUUACCUGCAAAUUUUGUUGUAUGAAGACAGUCACUGAGUUUUGUAGUUGACUUGAGAUCAGCUUACCAAAAUGGAACAAUAAAGAGCUCUUGAAGUCGAGCAUUAGGUAAGGUUUGGUACAAUAUAAAGCAAAGUUAGGUCUUGACUGUACAAAGGUCCUCCUUGAUAAUUAAUAAACUAAAAAUAUAUUGAUUCCCCUGUGGCAUUAAAUUUUAGAGAUGAAGGAGCAUUUGCAGAGUUAAAUCAGCUUAAGAGUAAAUAAAAACUUUAGCAAAAUCAAGGGGCAUUCCGAGAAUCGAACUCGGGACCUCUCGCACCCAAAGCGAGAAUCAUACCACUAGACCAAAUGCCCAGUUGUUUGUUGGUCCCUCAGUCGAAAUAAUAGCUGGAAGUUUCUUGUCUGUUGUCUGGAGCUUAUAUGAUUUUAAAAAAUGAUACUUCUUGGAGGGAUGAGCAUUUUUCAGUGUCAGGGAGCUCCUGCAAUAUUUUAAUAAUGUAUACAGAGAGACAUAGCAAUGCUGUUAAAGGUGUUUUAGUUGUAGACAGUGGGGAAGUUUUCCAUAUCUGGUCGUAAUAUCUAUACAUACACAACUGUAGAAUAAGCAAGAGAUGAAGGAGCCCUUGCAGAGUUAAUUCAACAUAGAGUAAAUAAAAACUUUAGCAAAGUCAAGGGGCAUUCCGAGUAUCGAACUCGGGACCUCUCGCACCCAAAGCGAGAAUCAUACCACUAGACCAAAUGCCCGUCGUUGACAUUGUCUUAUUUGAGUUAUAGUCAAAUGUAUUUUCCCCUUGUGAGUUAAUUGAUCACAAAUGUCAUUGCUUAUCUGUAAUAUAGAAUUCACAUACCCCUUAUUUUAGACCAGAUCUUCAUUUGCUUGCUUAAAUGUUCUUCAGUACUUUGCUUAUUUGGAUAUGUGAGGUAUAUAGAGGGGUUGCUUAAAAUAAUAUUCCUCUGCAGUUCCUCUGGUUCUCACUGCUCUCGAUGCCUAAGAUGCUAUCAGCUUUAGUUGUUACUGUCACUUGCCUAUUUACAAUCUUAUUCUAUCAUGCUCAACCUUUUGAUCAUCUGGAAUCCAAAACCUAUAAGAUCUGUCUAGUAAUUAAGAACUGUCAUUGGACAUGACAUUAGGUCUCUGGCAUUAACUGGAUUAAUAUUACAUGUUUGAGUUUCAUAGUUCAAGUUAAGUCACAGAUGAAGCAAAGUAAAGCUCCACUAAGGCGUAUCGCAUUUAUAGUUAAAGAUGGGCUUUUUGCUGGGUUCUUUUACUUCCGGUUCUGUUCUGAAUACCUUCUUUAUUAAGCUAUAUCAUUAUUACUUGUUUCAUGGAAUGGUGCAGCUUAUAUUAUGCAAUUUUGGGUGCAAAGUAACAUGGUACAAUGAUUUUCAUGCUUCUUCGUUUCACUAAAGUGAAAUGAAAAUGGCUCAUGACUAUGGAUAUCUGUUUUAUUCCUUAUUUUGACGUGAAAUUCAGAGAGCUUUUACCUUGAUUUUGUGCAAGACCUCUGUGUCAUUGAUUAAUGAUUUCAGUUGUUAUUGUUAGUUUCCUUGACCCCUUAAUGACCGUGUUAUAGAUCAAACCUGAUGACUCUUCGAUGUUACGUAAAUCCAUGUACAAACUUCCCUGUUAAAUUUUGCCUACUCUGUCAAAUUGAAAACAGAUGGCAAAAAAACUAUAAUGAUGGCUUAUCAUAGUUGAGAUACUCAAACUUAUCUGUUGCACAUUUUG